rnacentral:lncRNA from 10 species
AUAGUGUAUUGGUAGAAAGGGAAAUGGCAAGGCAGGAGAGAGAGGCACCAACUGUGGAGCACAGUCUAGAGUAGGUGAGGGGUGAAGGGGUCCAUUGUCCAAGCGGAGGAGGGUGUCCCAGGAGCAGGGAUGCUUUGUCCACGUUACAGGGGAGGAGCAAGGCUGACAGCCGCUCAUGCUUUGAGUUUGGCAGAUGUGGUAGCAGUAGGCUGAGUUGAGCUGGCCUUUUGCUUCUAUUCCCAGCACGUUGUUAUGCCUGACUAUCAGCUUAAAUGGAGGAUUAGGAGAAUGGGGUCUGGAGGUUUGAGGAAAGAGGAGAAGGCAUGAUAGAGUCAUUUUGGGGAGUAGGGAUAAAGUUUUAGGAAAAUAUAGAAUUUCUUAGAGGUGCUGAGUGUCCACUUGAACUUUGUGGUCAAAAGUUUAAAUGGAGACCAGUCAGUCCAGUUGUAUUAUCCUCCAGGUGCUCAGGAACAGGUGCCAUGUGGAGAGUUGGGUUUAACCGGAGUUAGGGUCUUGCCAGAUAAGUACUGGAGAGGCAUGAGAAGGCGAGGGAGUGGAGGACACCUGCAAGCUGGUGAUUAUCUGGGGGACUGUGGAGUCUAAGCUGAGAAAGGAGGGCAGGGAGAAUGGAAAGGGGUGGGGGAACAUAGUGGUGGGUCAGUAGAUGGGGCAGAAGGAUUGCUGGAAUGGGAAUCAGGUUGGGUGAGCCACAUAGAUGGGAGAUGAUGCAGCUCUUGGUGUAGACAGAACUAGGGUGUGAACAUGCAGGUGGGUGGGUUGGAAGAGUGGAUAAAAAGGUUGUUGAAAUCAAGGAAGUCAAGGAACUGAGAAGUCAAGGUGUUGAAAAUGGAGUCACUACUAAUAAAUGUAGUAGCAGAUGGAAGACACUGAACGAGGGGCUGAGGUCAUCCGUGAAGGAGAGGGAAAAACCACGAUAUCUUACUUGUAUCUCAAAUUCAACAUGUCUGAAACUGAAGUCAUCCACACCUCCCCACUCAAGUAAAUGGUACUACCAUUCACAGCCAGAAACCUGGGUGUCACUUUGAUCCCCACACCCAAUUAAAUCAUCACAUCUUUUGGAUUCUAUCUUGUAAACAUUUCUUAAGUCCAUCUACUUCUUUCCAUCCCCAAGGUGCACACCCUAGUUCAGGCCAUUGCUGUUUCUUGCUUGGACGAUUGCACCAGAUUCCAAACAGGUAGCCCUGCCUUGGCCCCGCCACAUUGUAUCCAGAGACAUUGCAAAUUGGAUCAUGUCACUUCUGUGCUACAUCUCUCUAGGGACUUGUCAUUGUCCUCAGGAUAAAGUCCAAAGUCAUUAGCAGAGAUUUACAAAGAAAUCAUUGCAAGGAUCCAGCCUCUGUCUACUCCAGCCUGACUCCUACCUGAGCCCCUCACCUGGCCCAAGAGCUCCUGGGUUCUUUCCAUCUUUGUCACCAGGUAGAAGACUUCACUGAGGUUGAGCAGGAUGCAGAUGGCAGCUGUGGUCACCAUGAAGUAGGUGAAGACCUUCUUCUCCGUGGGCCGGGAGAUGUAACAGUCCACAGUGUGGGGGCAAGGCUCCACGGAGCAGGCCACCACGCGGGGCAUGUCAUAAUCCUUGUAGAGGCGGUGGAAGAUAUAGAGGAAGCCAGCAUCCACGGCGGCCUUGAAGAUGAGGCUCAGCAAGUACGUCCACCACAGUCCGCCCCGCUUCUUGCUCAGGUUGUCGUACAGGGACGGGGCAUUGGGCCCGUGUUUCAGGUGGUGCUUGCGCUCGCGUUCCUCGCGGUAGGCCACGUGCAUGACCACGAGCAGUGAGGGGCACGUGACCAGGAUGAGCUGUAGGGCCCAGAGGCGCACGUGGGACACGGGGAAGAACUCGUCAUAGCAGACGUUGGGGCAGCCGGG